UCGGGGAUGGCACUUGUUUAAUGUUUAUUUUUGUUUUUGUGUGUUUUUUGCAUUUUGUUUUCAUUAUAUAAUAUUUAGUACUCAAUAACUGGUUUUUCUUUUUUGUUAAUUCUUCAACUUCGUUUUAGGUGUUUUAUGACUCGAGGCAACUCAAAUUUUCUUGUCGACUUUGAUCCAAAAAUUGAAAGAACUGUUCGAAGACGACUUCGAG
rnacentral:lncRNA from 1 species